GGCCUAACACAAUAUGCCUUAAAUUAUUAUUAUUAUUAUUGUUCCUCUUCUUUAAUUAUCUUCAUAUGCAAGCAGAGCUUAUGACAAGUCCUUGUGAUGUUAAAUACAGGCAAGGAAUGCUAACCGUGUGGUGAGCAAUGCCAAGACAUAACAGAAACAAUGCAAAGUCAAAGAAAGAUCAAAUACUUUUAAGUCUAAGCCUAGUGGUUGGUUCCAUGUGGUGAUGAUUAUUAUUAUUGGUUUCGGAGUAGAUUAAUAAGUGUGUUGAAGAGGCUAGCUGUCUCUCAUAUUGCACCACCAUUUUUACGACAUUGCCUCCAUAAGUUGCCGGCAACAAGGUCAAACAUGUCUUCUCUCCCAGUUGACGGCGUGUUUAUCUCGAAUAUCAAGGGAUUUUAAAUUACCAUCUAUAAAUUUAUUAUAAUGAUUUGUUAUUGAGAUAUGAGUAUCAAAUAUUUUGGCAAUUUGUUGGGGAAGAUGAGAGCAUGGCGCGGAAACGAGCA
rnacentral:sRNA from 1 species